GAUGAACGCUGGCGGCGUGCCUAAUACAUGCAAGUCGAGCGAAUGGAUUAAGAGCUUGCUCUUAUGAAGUUAGCGGCGGACGGGUGAGUAACACGUGGGUAACCUACCCAUAAGACUGGGAUAACUCCGGGAAACCGGGGCUAAUACCGGAUAACAUUUUGAACCGCAUGGUUCGAAAUUGAAAGGCGGCUUCGGCUGUCAAUUAUGGAUGGACCCGCGUCGCAUUAGCUAGUUGGUGAGGUAACGGCUCACCAAGACAACGAUGCGUAGCCGACCUGAGAGGGUGAUCGGCCACACUGGGACUGAGACACGGCCCAGACUCCUACGGGAGGCAGCAGUAGGGAAUCUUCCGCAAUGGACGAAAGUCUGACGGAGCAACGCCGCGUGAGUGAUGAAGGCUUUCGGGUCGUAAAACUCUGUUGUUAGGGAAGAACAAGUGCUAGUUGAAUAAGCUGGCACCUUGACGGUACCUAACCAGAAAGCCACGGCUAACUACGUGCCAGCCGCCGCCGUAA
rnacentral:rRNA from 1 species